AGUGAACGCUGGCGGUAGGCCUAACACAUGCAAGUCGAACGGCAGCACAGUAAGAGCUUGCUCUUACGGGUGGCGAGUGGCGGACGGGUGAGGAAUACAUCGGAAUCUUCUUUUUCGUGGGGGAUAACGUAGGGAAACUUACGCUAAUACCGCAUACGACCUACGGGUUAAAGCAGGGGAUCUUCGGACCUUUCGCGUUUGUAUUAGCCGAUGUCGGAUUAGCUAGUUGGCGGGGUAAAGGCCCACCAAGGCGACGAUCCGUAGCUGGUCUGAGAGGAUGAUCAGCCACACUGGAACUGAGACACGGUCCAGACUCCUACGGGAGGCAGCAGUGGGGAAUAUUGGACAAUGGGCGCAAGCCUGAUCCAGCCAUACCGCGUGGGUGAAGAAGGCCUUCGGGUUGUAAAGCCCUUUUGUUGGGAAAGAAAAGCAGCAGGUUAAUACCCCGCUGUUCUGACGGUACCCAAAGAAUAAGCACCGGCUAACUUCGUG
rnacentral:rRNA from 1 species